rnacentral:rRNA from 1 species
GAUGAACGCUGGCUACAGGCUUAACACAUGCAAGUCGAGGGGAAACGACGGGGAAGCUUGCUUCCCCGGGCGUCGACCGGCGCACGGGUGAGUAACGCGUAUCCAACCUGCCUCUGACUGAGGGAUAACCCGUCGAAAGUCGGCCUAAUACCUCAUGGUAUCGUCUGCGGGCAUCCAACGACGAUUAAAGAUUUCAUCGGUCAGGGAUGGGGAUGCGUCUGAUUAGCUUGUUGGCGGGGUAACGGCCCACCAAGGCUACGAUCAGUAGGGGUUCUGAGAGGAAGGUCCACCACAUUGGAACUGAGACACGGUCCAAACUCCUACGGGAGGCAGCAGUGAGGAAUAUUGGUCAAUGGGCGAGAGCCUGAACCAGCCAAGUAGCGUGCAGGAAGACGGCCCUAUGGGUUGUAAACUGCUUUUAUGCGGGGAUAAAGUGAGGGACGUGUCCCUCAUUGCAGGUACCGCAUGAAUAAGGACCGGCUAAUUCCGUG